rnacentral:rRNA from 1 species
GUCGGCCUACGGGAGGCAGCAGUGGGGAAUAUUGCACAAUGGGGGGAACCCUGAUGCAGCAAUGCCGCGUGGGUGAAGAAGCACUCCGGUGCGUAAAGCCCUGUCAGCAGGGAAGAAAAUGACAGUACCUGACUAAGAAGCCCCGGCUAACUACGUGCCAGCAGCCGCGGUAAUACGUAGGGGGCAAGCGUUAUCUGGAUUUACUGGGUGUAAAGGGAGCGUAGACGGCAGCACAAGUCUGGAGUGAAAUCCCGGGGCUUAACCCCGGAACUGCUUUGGAAACUGUGCGGCUGGCGUGCAGGAGG